rnacentral:rRNA from 1 species
UGGGCAACCUGCCCCUCUCUCUGGGAUAACCCCGGGGAAACCGGGAGCUAAUACCGGAUACUCCGGCUGGAUCGCAUGGUCCGGCCGGGAAAGGUCCGCCGGAGAGGGAUGGGCCCGCGGCCUAUCAGCUUGUUGGUGGGGUAAUGGCCUACCAAGGCGACGACGGGUAGCUGGUCUGAGAGGACGACCAGCCACACUGGAACUGAGAUACGGUCCAGACUCCUACGGGAGGCA